UCAGACUUGUUUAAACUGUUCGGCCGGUCUUCUGACCGGUUUACUCAGUUUGGACAGGCCAGCAUCAGUUUCGGCGGCCGGAUAAAGGCUCUGGGAAUGUGGCCUCCACUUCGGUGGAGGUGUAUAGCCCAGGGUGUAAUACGGCCAGCCGGGACUGAGGCUCCGCGCUUCGGCUAGGAUGCUGGCGUAAUGGUUGUAAGCGAC
rnacentral:rRNA from 1 species